rnacentral:rRNA from 1 species
UACGUAGGUGGCAAGCGUUUGUCCGGAUUUACUGGGCGUAAAGGGCGUGCAGGCGGUUUGUUAAGUGCAGGGUGAAAGCUCCCGGCUCAACUGGGAGAGGUCCUUGCAUACUGGCAAACUCGAGGGAGGCAGAGGAAAGUGGAAUUCCCGGUGUAGUGGUGAUAUGCGUAGAUAUCGGGAGGAACACCUGUGGCGAAGGCGGCUUUCUGGGCCUUACCUGA